rnacentral:misc_RNA from 1 species
AGAGAGAGAGAGACAGAGAGUUUUGGGCGGGUUGAUAUUGAUUUUGAUAUGGCAGCAGCAAAUGGAAGUUAACCACCACAUCUGUAUAUCAAUCCGUAAGGAAUCAGAAAUGAAAGAAAAAAUGAAAGAUUUACUUUUAUGUUUUGUACUGAUAAGGAAAAUUGUAAAAAUCUUUUCUUUUCUCUUUUAUUUUAUUUUUUAUUUAAUAUUUUGUCCAUUGCCGACUUAUAUCCUCUCUCUCUCUCUCUCUCU